GGGUAGAGCACUGUUUCGGCAAGGGGGUCAUCCCGACUUACCAACCCGAUGCAAACUGCGAAUACCGGAGAAUGUUAUCACGGGAGACACACGGCGGGUGCUAACGUCCGUCGUGAAGAGGGAAACAACCCAGACCGCCAGCUAAGGUCCCAAAGUCAUGGUUAAGUGGGAAACGAUGUGGGAAGGCCCAGACAGCCAGGAUGUUGGCUUAGAAGCAGCCAUCAUUUAAAGAAAGCGUAAUAGCUCACUGGUCGAGUCGGCCUGCGCGGAAGAUGUAACGGGGCUAAACCAUGCACCGAAGCUGCGGCAGCGACACUAUGUGUUGUUGGGUAGGGGAGCGUUCUGUAAGCCUGUGAAGGUGUGCUGUGAGGUAUGCUGGAGGUAUCAGAAGUGCGAAUGCUGACAUAAGUAACGAUAAAGCGGGUGAAAAGCCCGCUCGCCGGAAGACCAAGGGUUCCUGUCCAACGUUAAUCGGGGCAGGGUGAGUCGACCCCUAAGGCGAGGCCGAAAGGCGUAGUCGAUGGGAAACAGGUUAAUAUUCCUGUACUUGGUGUUACUGCGAAGGGGGGACGGAGAAGGCUAUGUUGGCCGGGCGACGGUUGUCCCGGUUUAAGCGUGUAGGCUGGUUUUCCAGGCAAAUCCGGAAAAUCAAGGCUGAGGCGUGAUGACGAGGCACUACGGUGCUGAAGCAACAAAUGCCCUGCUUCCAGGAAAAGCCUCUAAGCAUCAGGUAACAUCAAAUCGUACCCCAAACCGACACAGGUGGUCAGGUAGAGAAUACCAAGGCGCUUGAGAGAACUCGGGUGAAGGAACUAGGCAAAAUGGUGCCGUAACUUCGGGAGAAGGCACGCUGAUAUGUAGGUGAAGUCCCUUGCGGAUGGAGCUGAAAUCAGUCGAAGAUACCAGCUGGCUGCAACUGUUUAUUAAAAACACAGCACUGUGCAAACACGAAAGUGGACGUAUACGGUGUGACGCCUGCCCGGUGCCGGAAGGUUAAUUGAUGGGGUUAGCGGUAACGCGAAGCUCUUGAUCGAAGCCCCGGUAAACGGCGGCCGUAACUAUAACGGUCCUAAGGUAGCGAAAUUCCUUGUCGGGUAAGUUCCGACCUGCACGAAUGGCGUAAUGAUGGCCAGGCUGUCUCCACCCGAGACUCAGUGAAAUUGAACUCGCUGUGAAGAUGCAGUGUACCCGCGGCAAGACGGAAAGACCCCGUGAACCUUUACUA
rnacentral:rRNA from 1 species